UGUAAACAUCCGACUGAAAGCUCCUGUAAUAGAUUCACAGCUUCCAGUCAAGGAUGUUUACA
rnacentral:pre_miRNA from 1 species